UACGUAGGGGGCGAGCGUUGUCCGGAUUUAUUGGGCGUAAAGAGCUCGUAGGCGGCUAUCGAAGUCGGGUGUGAAAUUCCAACGCUUAACGUUGGACUUGCAUUCGAUACUGGGUGGCUUGAGUCUGGUAGGGGGACCUGGAAUUCCUGGUGUAGCGGUGGAAUGCGCAGAUAUCAGGAGGAACACCGGUGGCGAAGGCGGGGUCCUGGGCCAGUACUGACGCUGAGGAGCGAAAGCGUGGGGAGCAAACAGGG
rnacentral:rRNA from 1 species